GUGCCAGCCGCCGCGGUAAUACGGAGGGUGCAAGCGUUGUCCGGAAUCACUGGGCGUAAAGGGUGCGCAGGCGGGGCAGCAAGUCGGAGGUGAAAGCCCAUGGCUCAACCAUGGAAGUGCCUUCGAAACUGUUGCUCUUGAGUCCCGGAGAGGCUGUCGGAAUUCGUGGUGUAGCGGUGAAAUGCGUAGAUAUCACGAGGAACACCAGAGGCGAAAGCGGGCAGCUGGACGGGUACUGACGCUCAGGCACGAAAGCGUGGGGAGCAAACAGGAUUAGAUACCCGUGUAGUCC
rnacentral:rRNA from 1 species